GGGGUUGUGACUCAUGGGUAGAGUGCUCGCCUAGCACGUGUGAGGCCCUGGGUUCGAUCCUCAGCACCACA
rnacentral:tRNA from 1 species